CAGCAGGGGCUGCUGCUGCUGCAGGCUGGCUCUUGAGUCCCUGGACCCUCGCACACUGCGGCUGCUGUGGAGGCAGCGAGAACUGGAGAUCCAGGCCUUGCGGUGGGCUGUCCAGAAUGGCAAGGACACCCGGCUCUGCCACAUCCUGGAGGAGGUGGCAGGGAUUCCACCCAACAGGUCUGCAGCACAGUCCCCAACCAACCCAACCCUGCCCUGUCCUCGCCCAGACUGCUGGUUUCUGUCUGACCCCAAUCCCAACCGCUGAGUCAGAUCCUUACCCUCAUCCUUGCCCACGCUGACCCUCCACCCUGAUCCUAAGUUAACACGCUAUAGCCUCAACCCUAACCCUGCGCAUGUGGAUGGGUGCUAGACCCCUGCCCAGACCAGCCGGAGGCUGGUCGGCCCCAGUGGGGCUGUGCUGUGUGCCCUUGGGGCCAAGGUGGCAGUGGAGCCCCUCCUCCCCUCCUUCGCCACUGACCUGGUAUUAGGAACCCCUGCCUGAGCCAGGUGAGGGCAGCUGAGGUCGCCCCUCCUCCAGGAGCUCCCACAGUCAGGAGAAGUUCCUGCAGAACCAGGUCCAGAAGCUGACCCUGGAGUUGAAGGAACAGAAGGAGCGAGCCCAGUGGGAGAAGGAGCACCUGGAGGAGCGGCUAUUGCAGACCACCCGCACGCUCCAGGAGGUGGAGGCCGAGCUGCAGAACUUGCAGAAGUCCUGCCUCCUGCAGCUGGCCCGCUCCUCGUGGGUGGGCCGCAUGCUACGAUCCCAGACUGGCAGUGUGGAGGUGAGCCUGUCCCCAAGUCCUCCUGCCCCAGGCUGCCCUCCCUAGCCCUCCCCUCUCAUCGGGUGCCUCUGCUGGGGUGCCCUGGCCUGCCUGGAAACCUGCCCUGCUCAGGCUGCCUCUGGAACUCUGGGCUCCAGCAGGGAGGAAUCAGGAGGCCUCAAAGCACAGGUGGUGACGGCAGAGACUCUGAUGGACCCAAGUGACCUCUCUGAAAACAUUCAGGCCCCCACUGGGGAGGGCUUUCGACUGGAGGACGUGGACUGGAACAGCAUUGCCCACCGGUACCCCAACCUCUUCAUCAACAUGGAGCCCAGCUCAAAGCAAAAGCAGCCCCAGCCCUGGCCACAGCUGGACACAGGGAGCUCAGAGUCCUCUGGAAAGCACUCUGAGCGGCAUCACAAGACGGUGGAGUGGGGCUGCCUGCCCUGUCUGAACACCAGCAGCUCAGGGGGCGCUGACUCGGACUCCAGCAGCUACCGGCCGGGCCUGCCUUCCCUCGUGCAGGUGGUAGGGCACCCACCCCGGGACCACCGCGCUUCCUCCAAUCAGGCGCUGGUACAGGCCAGGAGCUCCAGCAGGGACUUGGAAGAUCUCCAGAAAACCCACUCACCCAGGCACGGCGAGCCAGUCCUGGCGCCCCAGCCCUGCACAGACCCUGACCGUCGGAGCCCGGAACACCUGCAGAGCCCGAUAGGCCUGAAGAUCGUGGCCGUGAGCUGCCGGGAGAAGUUCGUCCGCAUCUUCAACCCGUCGCUGGAGAGCACGGCCGACCUGAGCUGCAUGGUGCUGAAGCAGCUGGUGCGCGGCUUGCCAGAGCGCCUGUACCGCUUCCCGCCGGGCACGCUGCUGGCCCCGCGGCACCACAUCACGGUGCGCCUCGGCCCGGGAGCCCGGCCCCGACGGCCCGGC
rnacentral:lncRNA from 1 species